rnacentral:pre_miRNA from 1 species
UAACUACUCCCUCCGUCCGGAAAUACUUGUCCUUGAAAUGAAUAAAAUGGAUGUAUCUAUAACUAAAAUAAGUCUAGAUACAACCAUUUCGAGGACAAGUAUUUCCGGACGGAGGGAGUAAUAU